GUAUUACCGCGGCUGCUGGCACGAAGUUAGCCGGUGCUUAUUCUGUCGGUAACGUCAAAACAGCAAGGUAUUAGCUUACUGCCCUUCCUCCCAACUUAAAGUGCUUUACAAUCCGAAGACCUUCUUCACACACGCGGCAUGGCUGGAUCAGGCUUUCGCCCAUUGUCCAAUAUUCCCCACUGCUGCCUCCCGUAG
rnacentral:rRNA from 1 species